rnacentral:rRNA from 1 species
UUCGGGAUUGAUUAUUUUGUGACUGAGUGGCGGACGGGUGAGUAACGCGUGGGUAACCUGCCCAUGUGCCCGGGAUAACUUCUGGAAACGGAUGCUAAAACCGGAUAGGUAGCAGACAAGCAUUUGACUGCUAUUAAAGUGGCUAAGGCCAUGAACAUGGAUGGACCUGCGGUGCAUUAGCUAGUUGGCGGGGUAACGGCCCACCAAAGCGACGAUCAGUAGCCGGCCUGAGAGGGUGAACGGCCACAUUGGGACUGAGACACGGCCCAAACUCC